GGGCCUAUAGCCCAAUGGUAGGGCAGUUGACUGCAAAUCAAAAGGUCAUCGGUUCGAAUCCGAUUAGGCCCU